rnacentral:rRNA from 1 species
CCAAUAGCGUAUAUUAAAGUUGUUGCAGUUAAAAAGCUCGUAGUUGAAUUUCGGGAUCAGUACGCUGGUCGUGCCUUGGUAUGUACUGGUGUUACUGGUUCCUACCUUCUGACGAACCGUCAUGUCAUUAAUUUGGUGUGGCGGGGAAUCAGGACUGUUACUUUGAAAAAAUUAGAGUGUUUAAAGCAGGCUCGCGCUUGAAUACAUUAGCAUGGAAUAAUGAAAUAGGACGUUUGAUCCUAUUUUGUUGGUUUCUAGGAUUGACGUAAUGAUUAAUAGGGAUAGUUGGGGGCAUUAGUAUUCAAUUGUCAGAGGUGAAAUUCUUGGAUUUAUUGAAGACUAACUACUGCGAAAGCAUUUGCCAAGGAUGUUUUCAUUAAUCAAGAACGAAAGUUAGGGGAUCGAAGACGAUCAGAUACCGUCGUAGUCUUAACCAUAAACUAUGCCGACUAGGGAUCGGAUGAUGUUAAUUUUUUAAUGACUCAUUCGGCGCCUUACG